AUGUUGGCUGUUGGGACUGUGGUGUCCUUCUACCUAGCCUUAUGUUGGCUGAUGGGACUGAGGUGUCCUUCUACUCCAGCCUUGAGUUGGCUGAUGGGACUAAGGUGUUCUUUCUACGAUCGCCUUAUGUUGGCUGAUGGGACUGAGGUUGUCCUUCUACCUAGCCUUAUGUUGGCUGAUGGGACUGAGGUGUCCUUCUACCUAGCCUUAUGUUGGCUGAUGGAACUGAGGUGUCCUUCUACCUAGCCUUAUGUUGGCUGUUGGGACUGUGGUGUCCUUCUACCUAGCCUUAUGUUGGCUGAUUUGACCUCAAAUAAAACUGGAAUGGCUCUUUCUUGCUUCUGUUUGUUCCUAAUCAAUCAAGCCAACUAUUACAGUGUUUUUAUACUUUCACAUAUUAUUUACGUGCCGAUGACACGGCCG
rnacentral:lncRNA from 1 species